rnacentral:rRNA from 1 species
AUUGAACGCUGGCGGCAUGCCUUACACAUGCAAGUCGAACGGUAACAGGUCUUCGGAUGCUGACGAGUGGCGAACGGGUGAGUAAUACAUCGGAACGUGCCUAGUAGUGGGGGAUAACUACUCGAAAGAGUGGCUAAUACCGCAUGAGAUCCACGGAUGAAAGCAGGGGAUCGCAAGCCCUUGGGCUACUAGAGCGGCCGAUGGCAGAUUAGGUAGUUGGUGGGAUAAAAGCUUACCAAGCCGACGAUCUGUAGCUGGUCUGAGAGGACGAUCAGCCACACUGGGACUGAGACACGGCCCAGACUCCUACGGGAGGCAGCAGUGGGGAAUUUUGGACAAUGGGCGAAAGCCUGAUCCAGCAAUGCCGCGUGCAGGAUGAAGGCCUUCGGGUUGUAAACUGCUUUUGUACGGAACGAAAAGCCCCGGGUUAAUACCCUGGGGUCAUGACGGUACCGUAAGAAUAAGCACCGGCUAACUACGUGCCAGCAGCCGCGGUAA